UCUGGAAGAAUACUGGAGACAGGUGCUGCAUGGCUGUCGUCAGCUCGUGUCGUGAGAUGUUGGGUUAAGUCCCGCAACGAGCGCAACCCUGCCUUUAGUUGCCAGCAGUUCGGCUGGGCACUCUAAAGGGACUGCCGGUGUUAAACCGGAGGAAGUGGGGAUGACGUCAAGUCCUCAUGGCCUUUAUGACCAGGGCUACACACGUACUACAAUGGCCGAUACAAAGGGCAGCGACACUGCGAGGUGAAGCCAAUCCCGUAAAAUCGGUCUCAGUCCGGAUUGGAGUCUGCAACUCGACUCCAUGAAGUUGGAAUCGCUAGUAAUCGUGGAUCAGCAUGCCACGGUGAAUACGUUCCCGGGCCUU
rnacentral:rRNA from 1 species